rnacentral:rRNA from 1 species
UACGAAGGGAGCUAGCGUUGUUCGGAAUCACUGGGCGUAAAGCGCACGUAGGCGGGUUUGUCAGUCAGGGGUGAAAUCCCGGAGCUCAACUCCGGAACUGCCCUUGAUACAGCAAGCCUUGAGUCCGGAAGAGGUAGGUGGAAUUCCUAGUGUAGAGGUGAAAUUCGUAGAUAUUGGGAAGAACACCGGUGGCGAAGGCGGCAUCCUGGACCGGCAUUGACGCUGAGGCGCGAAAGCCAGGGGAGCAAACGGG